rnacentral:rRNA from 1 species
ACAGGGGGAUAACACUUAGAAAUAGGUGCUAAUACCGCAUAAGCGCACGGUUCCGCAUGGAACAGUGUGAAAAACUCCGGUGGUAUACGAUGGAUCCGCGUCUGAUUAGCCAGUUGGCGGGGUAACGGCCCACCAAAGCGACGAUCAGUAGCCGGCCUGAGAGGGUGAACGGCCACAUUGGGACUGAGACACGGCCCAAACUCCUACGGGAGGCAGCAGUGGGGAAUAUUGCACAAUGGGGGAAACCCUGAUGCAGCGACGCCGCGUGAGUGAAGAAGUAUCUCGGUACGUAAAGCUCUAUCAGCAGGGAAGAAAAUGACGGUACCUGACUAAGAAGCCCCGGCUAACUACGUGCCAGCAGCCGCGGUAAUACGUAGGGGGCAAGCGUUAUCCGGAUCUACUGGGUGUAAAGGGAGCGUAGACGGCAGCGCAAGUCUGGAGUGAAAUGCCGGGGCUCAACCCCGGAACUGCUUUGGAAACUGUGCAGCUCGAGUGCAGGAGAGGUAAGCGGAAUUCCUAGUGUAGCGGUGAAAUGCGUAGAUAUUAGGAGGAACACCAGUGGCGAAGGCGGCUUACUGGACUGUAACUGACGUUGAGGCUCGAAAGCGUGGGG